AUGACUGUUUCCAGCAAAAAACAAAUCUGUUCUAAUCAGUUUAAUAUCUGAUACGUCAUAAUAAAUUGAAUUUCAGAACAGGGAGAUGGAAUAGGGGCUUGCUCCGUCCACUCCACGCAUCAGUACUUCCAGGAACGGUGCACCCCCC
rnacentral:snRNA from 1 species